AACGAACGCUGGCGGCAGGCUUAACACAUGCAAGUCGAACGCCCCGCAAGGGGAGUGGCAGACGGGUGAGUAACGCGUGGGAAUCUACCCAGUUCUACGGAACAACUGAGGGAAACUUCAGCUAAUACCGUAUACGCCCUACGGGGGAAAGAUUUAUCGGAAUUGGAUGAGCCCGCGUUGGAUUAGCUAGUUGGUGAGGUAACGGCUCACCAAGGCGACGCUCCAUAGCUGGUCUGAGAGGAUGAUCAGCCACACUGGGACUGAGACACGGCCCAGACUCCUACGGGAGGCAGCAGUUAGGAAUAUUGGACAAUGGGCGCAAGCCUGAUCCAGCCAUGCCGCGUGAGUGAUGAAGGCCUUCGGGUUGUAAAGCUCUUUAGCCGACGAAUAUAAUGACUGUAGUCGGAGAAUAAGCCCCGGCUAACUUCGUGCCAGCCGCCGCAGUAAGAC
rnacentral:rRNA from 1 species